UCCGUAGGUGAACCUGCGGAAGGAUCAUUAUCGAUGGCCGCGCCCGUGAGCGCCCUGGUGCACGAUCGGCCGGCCUCUGAUUACACCCCUACUUUACGAGCACCUUUCGUUCUCCUUCGGCGGGGCAACCCGCCGCUGGAACCACAACAACCCUUUUUUUGCAUCUAGCAUUACCUGUUCUGAUAAAAAAACAAUCGUAACAACUUUCAACAAUGGAUCUCUUGGCUCUGGCAUCGAUGAAGAACGCAGCGAAAUGCGAUAAGUAGUGUGAAUUGCAGAAUUCAGUGAAUCAUCGAAUCUUUGAACGCACAUUGCGCCCCUUGGUAUUCCAUGGGGCAUGCCUGUUCGAGCGUCAUCUACACCCUCAAGCUCUGCUUGGUGUUGGGCGUCUGUCCCGCCUCUGCGCGCGGACUCGCCCCAAAGGCAUUGGCAGCGGUCCACGGCCCCUCUCGCGCAGCACAUUGCGCUUCUCGAGGCGGUCCGGCCCGCAUCCACGAAGCCCACAUUACCGUCUUUGACCUCGGAUCAGGUAGGGAUACCCGCUGAACUUAAGCAUAUCAAUAAGCGGAGGA
rnacentral:rRNA from 1 species